rnacentral:lncRNA from 1 species
GUUCGAAUGUUCAAUAGUUCACAAUGGCACGUGAUCGUAUAGUUUUAUAAAUGUUCAGUCCUUAUGGAUUACGUUCGGAUAUUAAGCGCAUGAUUUCCAGCCUACCCACGAUGGGGAAGACCUUGGCGGAAUCUCCGGUACCAAUAGCUUGUACCAAUCUGUCCUCCUUCAAGUCCAAAGCUGGAUCUUAUAUAGUCCAAUGGUCCAUACACAUGUCUAUAGCUGUAGGCCGGUUGUAUAAUCGUCUGGUUAUCGAGUACUAUUUACAUGAGGUUAAUUGUCAAAUAAUGUAAUUAACCCCUGACGGAUAAAUGUUAUUUUAAAGUAAACAUGGUCAUUUAUGGGCUUCGGGGUAUAUAUGUCCAUAGUAUACGAACAGAUUGUUAUUAGUGUCCAAAGGUUUCCUGCUAUUUAAUGUAUUCACAGAUUGUUAUUAGUGUCCAAAGGCUUUCUGCUAUUUAAUGUAUUCACAGAUGGUUAUUAGUGUCCAAAGGCUUUCUGCUAUUUAAUGUAUUCACAGAUGGUUAUUAGUGUCCAAAGCAUACAUGAUUGUCAUUGAAUUGUUUAUUUCCUUUUUAAUAAAUUUCCUAAUUAAUACUCCUUGAUAAUUAAUUAAUGUUACCAAUUGUGUAACAAUAUAUCAAUGA